CAGACUCAAAACUAAGUCGCACACAAGUUGGAAGUUUUGGAAGUUGCGGUCUUGGAGGCGAUAUCUGCUAUCUGCUUCUUCUACUCUCUAUGUAUCAUUGAGAUCCAAAAGUUCAUAUCCUCCUGAUCAUUUCAGAGAAUGAUGUGUGAGGGAUUCAAUAGACAUCGUUUAAGUUGUGGCAACUUCUGUUUCCAGUGGCGUUCGUCCUUCUGAUGAGAUUGUUCUAAAUAUCCGAGGAAUGAUGUGUGAGGGAUCGAUGCGCUUCCAGCAUAAAGAGAAUACUAGAAAUCUAAGUGAGGUUUCUUUUUAUAAUUUUUUUGGAUUGUCUUAAUUAGGAACCUAAUUCUUCUUGUUUCUACAAUCAAAAGUGUCUUCUGCUGCUGUUGAUCUUGCUGCAGAAAUUGCAGUUAAACCGCCUGUGUAUCUGAAGCCACAGGAGUGCCAAACCAUUUAGGAGAAACUCUUGCCAAACGUUUAACCAAUUGUGGAUUUGCAUCCAAUCUUCCAGGUGAGCAACAUCUUCUUCAAUUGU